rnacentral:lncRNA from 1 species
UGAAAACUUCUGAUAGAAAUACGGUAUGACAAUACUGUAAUUAAUGAACAUGUACAUAUACAGAAUAGUUAAAACUAUUGAAUGAAAGCUUCUGAUAGAAAUUGCCUUCUCACAUGAUCGAGUAGCCAAAUAAGUCCCCACUCCCCAGUACUCCGAUGUGUUUCAACUUAUUUCGAAUGCAUUCGAUUUAUAUCUAUGCAUGUGGGGGUUCAGUCGCCCUUCUCUAGCAAGGUUCUUAAGAUGGACGUGAUCACCUAGAGCCUGAACAUAGCCUCCGUGACAAUUUUCGAACCUCAUUUCUGACAUCCCCAGCCAAGCAGGACUCAAUGAUAUGUACGCACUACCUAAGCAUUUGGAUUUACUUCCUUUAUUCGAUGCUUGGACCUCGAUGCGUUUUCCCGUGGCGAAUUUGCCGUUGAGACUGAUGGUCACACAUCGAAUCCUGGUCUGAGAGCCAAAAUGCUGGCAUUACUUGUCUUCCAGUCAGCAGCUCCUCAGAGACGAUAGCCAUGAAUCUUCCUAGAAGCAACAGUUGUGAUCAUGUUGCUCAACCGAAUGAAGAUUCAAAAUACCGCCUAAAGCCUGAAUAGAAGUGUUCUACAUAAUUAUGUUGCUCAACCUAAUGAAGAUACCACCUUAAUUUUUAUUUUAGCACCAUUACUUGAAACAGGUAAUGGGUGUAUAUACCUAUGUAUUCGAGCUCCCUCGAGCUCACUUAAGCGACCACUUUGAACACAAUUUAUACACCUUCGACGUCAAACGAGGUGAACACCUUUUUACUCGACUUCACCUCGAGCUCACUAAAACCUUCAUGAUCCGACUUAGAUUCUUUAUUCAUUCGUCGUCAAACGACGUGAACACUCUUUUGCUCGAGCUCACUCGAGCUGGGGCUUAUCUUGCUCGACCUCACUCCGAGCUCACCCUUACUCCACACACUUAUUCUCUUCAGUUACAAUAUAUUUCACAAUCACUUUGUAACGUAUGCUCAUUAAUUGAACCUACCGUUGGACAAUUAAUGAGCUAGUUGUUGUCCCAAUCACCUAUAAAUAUGAACUACAUAGGCUUGAUUCUGGGACCUGGUCACUCCCAGAUACGUAGGCAACUAUCUUCUAAGAUAGCUCAGCCACUUCUCAUUCUUAAAUCUCUUCCCACUUCUAUUUUUGAUCAUCUUCUUCAGCACUCUGUUCACUUAACUUAUUUCUACAUUUACAUUGGCGCCGACUGACUGUGAUCGAAUAUCAACCAGACAAAGACCAUUGCCGGAAUCACUCAAACAGUUUGAGCAACUUCACAAACAAACCAAUAAUCAACAAGUUGGUGACUGAAAAUGCUCAACUGAAGAGUUCCACCACCGCUCCACCAAACGGAGCCACCACUGAUGAAGUCAACACAUUCACCAAACGGAGCCACCACCGCUCCACCUACAAGUCACCUUUGCAUUCAACUCCACUAAACUGAAACAAAUGGUGAGAUCUACCUCCCAAUCUCAACUGGAGAAGAUGAAGUCACUGUCAAGUGCACAUUUUUCAUGUUAGACGUUACAACUAAGUUCAAUGCAACCUUGGGUAGAAAAUGGAUUCACAGGAUGAAAACUGUUCCAUCUACCUAUCACCAAGUCAUCAAAUUUCUUGGCCUCAAAGGCAUCAUGGAACUCCGAGGUGACCAAAUUGAGGCACAUAGAUGCCAUGCAAUUCUUGAGGUCAUCCCACUUCUUGGCAAGUCGGGGGCCACCAAGACAACUGCAAGCUCACUUUUACCCUUUGUCAACGAGAUCUCUACGAAGAUAGUUGUGAGCUCACAAAAGCCCACUGUCAAAUGAGAUCUCCACCAAGACAACUGCGAGCUCACUUUAGCCCUUUGUCAACGAGAUCUCUACCAAGAUAGUUGUGAGCUCACCAAAGCCCACUGUCAAAUGAGAUCUCCACCAAGACAACUACGAGCUCACAUCAGCCCCAUGUCAAUGAGAUCUCUACCAAGACAACUGUGAGCUCACUUAAGCCCUUUGUCAAUGAGAUCUUUACCAAUACAUGUGUGAGCUCACCAAAACCCACUGUCACCAAGAUCUCUACCAAGAUAGUUAUGAGCUCACCAAAGUCCACUGUCAAACGAGAUCUCCACCAAGACAACUACGAGCUCACUUAAUAUAUCUAGUUCACUCUCAUCAAUCUAGCUCAAGCGAGGUGAACACUAUUUUUCUCUAGCUCACCCGAGCUCAUUUAACGUAUCUAGUUCACUCUCAUCUACCUCAAACGAGGUGAACACUAUUUUUCUCUAGCUCACCCGAGCUCACUUAACCUAUCUAGUUCACUCUCAUCUAGCUCAAAUGAGGUGGACAAUAUUUUCCUCUAGCUCACCCGAACUCAUUUAACAUAUGUAGUUCACUCUCAUCUAGCUCAAACGAGGUGAACACUAUUUUUCUCUAGCUCACCCGAGCUCAUUUAACAUAUCUAGUUCACUCUCAUCUACCUCAAACGAGGUGGAUAAUAUUUUCCUCUAGCUCGCCCGAGCUCAUUUGACAUAUGUAGUUCACUCUCAUCAUCUAGCUCAAACGAGGUGGACACUAUUUUUCUCUACCUCACCCGAACUCAGUGUAACACCAAAAUCGAGCUCACGUGCAUCAUUACUUACCUUGUCGACCAAGACAUUGGACAACUCAAGAAAGCUCAACACAAAUCCAAAGACGAGACCAAAAGUUUCGUCCCUCGCAUUAUAGAGCCACUUAUCUACAUCAAAAGACAAGUGCAACACCAAAAGCGAGCUCAUAAGAAACCCCCUACUCCAAGGCAAUUCAUUGCUCAUUCCAAUGAAACAUCUUUGUUUUCAUCCAAAUCGAAGUCAGCUCAUUCUACUUCAUUUCAACCGCCCACUUCAAUAUGAAUGAAAAAGGGCUAUGUAUAUACCUAUGUAUUCGAGCUCCCUCGAGCUCACUUAAGCGGCCACUUUGAACACAAUUUAUACACCUUCGACGUCAAACGAGGUGAACACCUUUUCACUCGACUUCACCUCGAGCUCACUAAAACCUUCAUGAUCCGACUUAGAUUCUUUAUUCAUUCGUCGUCAAACGACGUGAACACCUUUUUGCUCGAGCUCACUCGAGCUGGGCUUAUCUUGCUCGACCUCACUCCGAGCUCACCCUUACUCCACACACUUAUUCUCUUCAGUUACAAUAUAUUUCACAAUCACUUUGUAACGUAUGCUUAUUAAUUGAUCCUACCGUUGGACAAUUAAUGAGCUAGUUGUUGUCCCAAUCACCUAUAAAUAUGAACUACGUAGGCUUGAUUAUGGGACCUGGUCACUCCCAGAUACGUAGGCAACUAUCUUUUAAGAUAGCUCAACCACUUCUCAUUCUCAAAUCUCUUCCCACUUCUAUUUUCGAUCAUCUUCUUCAGCACUCUGUUCACUUAACUUAUUUCUGCAUUUACAAUGAGAAAUUAAAAAAACCAUCAAGAUAUACUGCUUGUCAUUCUUCCCUUUUGUCACAAGUGGUAUGUUCUUUGCUUAGG